GAUGAACGCUAGCGGCAGGCCUAAUACAUGCAAGUCGAACGGGAUCUGAGGGUAGCUUGCUACCCGAUUUGAGAGUGGCGCACGGGUGCGUAACGCGUGAGCAACCUACCCAUAUCAGGGGGAUAGCCCGAAGAAAUUCGGAUUAACACCGCAUAAUAAUACGCUAACACAUGUUGAUGUAUUUAAAUAUUUAUAGGAUAUGGAUGGGCUCGCGUGACAUUAGCUAGUUGGUAAGGUACCGGCUUACCAAGGCGACGAUGUCUAGGGGCUCUGAGAGGAGAAUCCCCCAAACUGGUACUGAGACACGGACCAGACUCCUACGGGAGGCAGCAGUAAGGAAUAUUGGUCAAUGGGCGCAAGCCUGAACCAGCCAUGCCGCGUGCAGGAUGACUGCCCUAUGGGUUGUAAACUGCUUUUGUUAGGGAAUAAACCUUCUUACGUGUAAGGAGCUGAAUGUACCUAAAGAAUAAGGAUCGGCUAACUCCGUGCCAGCCGCCGCCGUAA
rnacentral:rRNA from 1 species